GUGGCCAGAGAAGGGAGCCAUCUCUGCUUUCAACUGCAAAGCCCUUCAGGAACAGCAAUAUCGACCCUGUGCUACAUCAGCAGAAGCAACCAGCUCGCUGUGGGUUCUUCCGAUGGCUGCCUGUCACUGUGGGAUGUGAAAACUCUGAAGCAGGAGCACUGCUCUCAGCUUGAAGGAGGAAGGAUGCCUGUCUACGCUGUUACUUUUCAAGAGCCUGAGAAGGAUCCUCGCGAUUGUGGCUGCUUGUGGGCUGUUCAGUCUACACAAGAAAGUGAAGGCGAUGCUGUGAGUUUACACCUGCUGCGGUUAGAAUUCGGUGACAGGAGACGCUUGCCAUCAGGACAAGUCAUGUAUGAGCGUUUGGCAUCCUGUGUUGAAAAGUACAGUUUAGACCUCACGGGCAGAGCCUUUCCCUUGAGAGGGCAGAGCAGCAAGACCAAACUACUCAGCUGCCAGGCUGUAGAAAUCUUUCCCAACCACGUU